rnacentral:rRNA from 2 species
AAAACGACUCUCGGCAACGGAUAUCUCGGCUCUCGCAUCGAUGAAGAACGUAGCGAAAUGCGAUACUUGGUGUGAAUUGCAGAAUCCCGUGAACCAUCGAGUUUUUGAACGCAAGUUGCGCCCAAAGCCAUUAGGCUAAGGGCACGUCUGCCUGGGCGUCACGCAUCACGUCGCCAC